AUACUUAUCUGGCAGGGGAGAUAUUAUAAUCAAGAAAGUGAUUUUCCCAGGGUGAGGUUUAACUAUGACCCUUGGGAUGUGCUGACCUCUGCUAUUUCCCCAAACAUGGGAAAAUUGACUGUAGAAUUUGUGAUAGUGGAAGACUGUGUUUACACUCUCCCU
ensembl:snRNA Gm26121 predicted gene, 26121